rnacentral:rRNA from 1 species
AGAAUCAACGCUGGCGGCGUGCCUCAGACAUGCAAGUCGAACGCGAAAGUUCCCUUCGGGGAUGAGUAGAGUGGCGCACGGGUGAGUAACACGUAGGUAAUCUACCUUUGGAUGGGGAAUAACAACCGGAAACGGUUGCUAAUACCGCAUAAUGCAGCGGCACCUAAUGGUGACAGUUGUUAAAGCGGGGGAUCGAAAGACCUCGCGUCUGAAGAGGAGCCUGCGGCGGAUUAGCUAGUUGGUAGGGUAACGGCUACCAAGGCUACGAUCCGUA